GCUGGGGUGGUCUAGUGGUAUGAUUCCGGGAACUGCUUCAGUGGAUGCUAGACGCCAGUUCGAAUCUGGCUCCCGGCA